CCAGACUUGAGAUAAUUUUUCAGCAACCUGUAGGCUCCUACGUUAAUGACAAGUUAACACUUUUUAGUAGCAAUUUGACACUUGUAUAAAGAUGAUCCGUAUAUUUCAAAUAUUGUCUCCUUUGAUCUUGUGCAUCCCAGGUUCUAUGGGGAUCAUCACAGUAGGUCAGUCUCCUGCUGUCAUUAAUGCCCAGCCUCAUGACACUGUGGAUUUCCUUUGCCGAGCAUCACAGGAUAUUGGACGUUACAUGUCUCUUUACCAGUUUAAACCUGGACAAGCUCCAAAAAGUUUAAUUUACUACAGUGACACAAGGUUUUCAGACACCCCACAGCGGUUCAGUGGUAUCAGGAAUGGAGCUCUGACCACCUUCACCAUCAGUGGUGUUCAGCUGGAGGAUGAGGCCGUGUACUACUGCCAGCAGGGUUAUGAGUAUCCGUUCACACAGUGAAAUAUCGCCGUACAAAAACCUCCUGCUCCUCUCUCAGCUUCACUGAUCUUGACAGUUUGUACUCGCUCAAUCAUGGAACAUUUCUUGAUCACUAUAAACACAUUCAAGACAAUUCAGACUUGCCCUGAGACUAACGUCCAGCUUAAGCACUAUAUAUUAUAGUGAUAUUGGCCUUCUUAAGAGUAUGGGUCGCCUCUAUACAUUGACAGAUAGUAUCAAGGUUCUUUUUCAUGUUUAGGAUUCAAAAUAGCUCCAUUCCUCAGGAAUAUUACAAAUGAUUGUUUUUUGCCCAACUCUACUCUACACAACUUUGCAACCACUUUUGUUU